rnacentral:lncRNA from 1 species
UGAACUCACUGUCUUUGCCUGACUGAACAGUCCUGACAAUCUUUACUAACUCUGGGUCCUCAUGCUGUUUCUGAGCCACCUGCUCCAGAAACACGGGUGUUACUUUCAUCUGUGCAAUCAAAGCACCUGUACCAGACAACUCCAACUGUAGACCCUCAUUCAAGAGCUUAUAAAACUCCUUCACCACCGGUCUCCUCUCUG